UGGCACCUUCGGUGGUUAAUAAAAGUCCCCGGCCCCCGCACCCCACCGUUUUCUCUAUGCACUGUUCUCAAACCUAUUCUCAGCUCUCUCUCUCUCAGCGUGUCCAUAUCCAUGGCUCCAAUCUCAUUGGAAGAAUUUCUUGCUGCCGAGCCCCAAACCUCCAGGACCACGGGCCCCAAGCGAAACCUGGUGGCUAAGUUCGCCCUCUUCGCGGGCGCUGGUGGUCUCAUGCUGGGGUCCGGUCGCCGCCGACGACGCCACCACCACCUGGACCUGGCAUUCCAGGUCUACCUCUCCGCAAAUCUCACCACCUUCAUUCUGGGGCUCUUGCUGAUGUACGUUUCAAUUGUGGCUCCUUCGGAUUCUACCACUACCCGCAGCGGCAAGAUCACGAUGUGGGUGACUCUGUUCAUGUCUGCUGUCACCCUCGCCCUCGGCUCUUAUCUCGUCGUCUUCGCAAAUUGAUGUGCAGCUCUGGACUAGGCCGGAAUCGAACGUCAUGGACUUGGUUGGUGGAUUGCACUCACUCGACCCGGGCCUCCCUUUUCCAGUAAUGAUCUAGCUCAUCUAUAGACAGUUGAUGUUGUUUUUGAUCAUGGCGGGGCAGCUCGUGUGGUCGCCGAAGGCCACCGCUGCAGCCAUUCCUUUAGGAGAAGGUUUCCGAAGAGAGGGGAGAGAGGGUAUGUUAUAAUGUGAUCGAUGAAAGGCGAAUUUGAGCCUCUGCCCUUCUUGUUCUCCCUCCCUUUUAUGUUUUCCUUUUCUUUCCUCUUCAUUUGUUUAACUGAGAUUUUCUAUUUUUAGGACCGGGGGAGAGCGACGGAGGAUUGGUUUUUUGGGAAGGUUGCCUCCUCUGCUCUCCUCUUUCUUGUUAUAUAUCUACGUAUUUUUAGGUUUUAGAGGCAAUGAUGAUGAUUCUUGCUUUUAAGAGACGGUCGCAGGUGAUGGGGAUCUCGGAUUCCUGGGGUUUUAAACCCUAACUGCUUGGAUUCCUGGGUUUAGGAAACCCUAAGUCUCGAUCCAUCUUUUCUUGUUUUCUAGUCUAAUGGAUUGAUGGUGAGGUAGCUUGGAUGGUCCCCAAAGGCAACCGCUACAGCCAUUCUUUUAGAAAAAGGGGUUCAAAAGAGAGGAGGGGAAGGGCAAGGAAAGGUGAAUCUGCGCCUCUGCCCCGUUCUCCCUCUGUUUUAUGUUCGUUUCCUUUUGCCUCCUUCAUUUAUCUGAACCAUACUCUCAGGAUUUGCUGUUAUCAUGAAAACCUUAGCCUCGAUCCCUCUCUUCCUGUUUUCCGUCCUAAUGAAGUGAUGGCGAGGCAGCUUGGAUGGCCACGAAGGCAACCGCUGCAGCAGCCCUUCCUUUAGGAGAAGGUUUCGGAAGAGAGGAGAGAGGGGAAGGUAAUUUUUUAAUUUCUUUCUUGUUCUUUAUUGAGUUCUUUAAUUUGUUCCAUCUUCCGCUUCCUCUCUCUUGUUGUCUUCUUUCUCUCUCUAUUUAUUUAUAGUUCUUUGGGGUGACGAUGAUGAUGAUGAUCAUCUCUAUCAUGCGAUUUGAGCUUUUAAGCAAUGGUCGUAUGUGAACGGCGUCAACCUCUAAAUCCCCGAACCCUAAAUCUUGUAAUUCUUAGAUUCUUGGCGGGCAAACCCUAUAUCCCUGAACCCUAAAUCCUAUGCUUCCUUGAGGUUCGAAACCUUAGUUCUUAGAUUCAUGGGCUUGGAAAAUCCUAAGUCUCAAUUCUCUCUUGGUGUUUUCCGUUCUAAUGGAUUGAUGGGGAGGCAGCUCGCAUGGCAGCCAAAGGCAACUGCUGCAGCCAUUUCUUUGAGAAGGGCUCAAAAUAGAGGGGAGGGGGAAAGAGGGAAGGGCAUCGUAGGAUGUGAUCGAAGAAAGGUGAAUCUGAGCUUUGCCCCUCAUUGCCUUCCUCUAUUUUAUUUUAUUUUACUUUUUUUUUGGUUUCUUUGAUGGCAAUUUUGUUUCUAGGGUUAGGGUUUUUGAUGUUAUGACAAGAGUUUACUUUUAACUGCAGCUUUCCUUUUUCUUGGUUUCUUUUGCAUUAGCAUGCUAUUUAUAAUGUAUGAUUUUUUUUUUUUAAUUUCGCCCCAAAGAUGCUGGGGGAUUUGCUGUUGUGAUGAUGGUUUUACUUAAUACGACUGAUCUAUAAAAUAUGAAAACUACAGGAAUUAGUUGAUUAUAUUCGAGGCUUGCUUUUUCAAAUUUCUUUUGUUCAGGCUUUUCUUCUCUAUUUUUCCUGUGGUGAAAUCUCUAUCUAUGUAUUAGGUAAAUGAUAUUAAUCAGCAUCUUUGUUGCUUUAUGUUUAGCAAUGGAAUGAUGUUUGUUGCUCAGUAUCUCCCCCUUCCCCCUUCUUUUUUUAAGAAUAACACACUGAUUUGGUGCCAUGAGCCAAAGCAAUGAUAUAUAGGUGCUAGUGUCAAGAUUUCAUCUUCAAUGCAGGGGUUUCCUAUCUUUGAUACUGAUGUACAUAAAGUAGUACAUUUUCUUGAGUCCCAUUAGCAGGCAAGAAUAUUAUCAUUGCUUUUAUUGCAGUUUCACAGGAGGCUUUGCUGAAGAGGAUUUUUUUUUUCCGGGGAAUCCCAGGUUUUGCUCAAGAGGAUUCUUUUUUGAAGAAUGUUUGUUAUCUUGUAUGUUGCGGUUAUUGUGUUCCAGCUUUGAUUGUCUAAUGAUGCAGUAAUUUGUGUUUAGUUUACAUAUUGGGUCACAGCUGAAGGAGAUUUUCAGAACGUCUGGAUUUGGUUGAUUGUAAUGAGUUUCAUUCUCUUAUAUGACGGGCAACUGCUCCUCUUCUUCUGUUUCUGUAAUCAAAAUUGUGAUCCAGUCACACUCGUUGGUGGUACAGCUACGUGGAUGGGUAGGCUUGAGAUAUGGUUGCAGCGAGCUUCAUUUCCUUUUCUUAUAUAUGAGGUUCUCUUUUCCUUCUGUUUCUUUCAUCAGCAUGCUGAUCCAGUCAUCAGUUUUCAUUAGUGAUAAUGCUACGGUGCUUGGGUUGCCUUCAUGCAUGGUUUUGAUGAGUGAGGUUUUUCAUCCUAUAGAGAAGAUAUGAAAGGAUAUGGCUUUGGUGGAUGGAUUGGCUUCGUAUAUGUUUUCCAUGAGCGACAUUUUUCAUCCUGCUGCGAAGAUAUGAAAUGAUAUAUUUCCCAGGUUGCUUACUCAGGGCAUGUAGUGAUCACUGUUUCUUCAGUUCCAGUCCUGCCUGGGCUUGUAGUGGUGGAGACAUAUUUUGUAGGGGGCAGGACCUUGUCAAAUUUUCAUGGUUCUCAUUUAUGGUUGUCAGCUUUUUAGGUUCUUGAAGAAUUGCUUUUGGCAUUCAUGUUAGUUUAUGACUUAUGCCAUUGUAUAAUGCAGUAUGCGUGGGAAUUUUGGCAUGCUUUUAAUUUUUCUUUUGGUUCGUCAGUGUGUUUUUUGUGUCGGGGCGAGUGGCAGGGUUGUGACAGGGAAUGUUUAUUUGAUGCAGGAGCAUCAUGUGAUUAUGAUAGGAAAACUCUAUUUUGAGAUAACGUUGAAUGUUUAUUUUGGACAUAAGUUGGGCUUUCAAAUCAUGAUGUUUGAUAUGUGAUUUGGAUCGAAUCAGUUUAAGUUAGGUAUCUUCAUUGACUUGCAGUAUGCUCUAGGUUAUGGUUCAUUUAUUUGUCAUUAAAGUUGGAUAUUUUUUUGGCUGCGCAGCCUUCUGUUUCACCAGCAAGCUCGAUUUGUUUAUGACCUGCCAGAGCAGUACAACAUGGUAGAGUAACAACAUAGAAGGGGGUGAGGUUAAGAUGCCAUCUACAAUUAAGAGAGCAGGAUCGCUUUAUUAAUUUUUGUGGAUCAUGUAAAUUUGGUCUCUACUUUAGUAUCAGUACUGCAUAUUUUGCUGAAGGGAUUCUUUUGCUGGAAUGUAGUUUAUGUCCAUGAUUUUAUCGUCAUGAUGAUUCGAUAGGUCAUCUCAUCUCUGAUAUUUGGAGAAGUAAAUUGGAGUCGAAAGAAUCAUCUGCUGCCAAGGUUUCAUCAUUAGUUUUAUCACUCUCGUGUUUAGUCUCCUUGGUUUAGUUACCAACUGGUACUCAUGUAUGAUACCUUGGGAUUUGAUUGCUAGAUGGCGCUCUUACUCAUAUUAGUGCGUUGACAAGUAUCUUGAUUAAACCACCAAUUGUAUACUACAAAGCUGUCGAUUUUGUUGGGCUGGCAUAUAAUAAGUAUAGUUUAAGAGACUCCUGCCUUUUCAUCUAGGGCAUCCUUCCUCGUUAUGAGGUGAUUUUUGAUGGAAUAGCCUCAUGUCUUCUCAACCUCCAGGCUCCUUUCGUCUGAAAGGAGUUUCCUUUUUUAUGAACAGGACUUGACCUUGAUGGAGAGUCUGGAAUUGUAUCAUUUGUAUCUGAAUGCAGCCAAAAGGAUAAGGACUAAUACAGGAGACAGAAAGGGAAGGGUAAGGACAAGGUUUCACUGGAAAGUAAUUCAUUGUUAGAAAUCUGUAGCUGGUCAAGAUGGAAUGGAAAAGGGAGCAUCGACUUCUUGGAUUGCUUUUUGUUGCCUGCUGAAGAUCAUGCAAUGUUGGAGAUAUUGACUGUACUUAAAUUGUCUUUAGGUAUUCUCUAUCUCAUUUCUCUAAGCUUUCACUUCUUUGUUAUCUUACCUGUUUGUAGGAUAGAAUAAAUUAUCUUGGCAAGCUAGAUGUCAGUUUCCAGGGAUUUGGACAUCGAUAAAGUCUUCUUGGCACUGUGCUUUCAGAGCAUCUUGGGAAUCAUCGAUAUAUUGCUUUUGUUUGACUGUAUUUGAAGUAUCUUUAGGUUAUAUUCUCUCUCAUCUAUUUGAGCUUUUACUUCUUAGUUAUCUUAGAUAUAUGGGCAAUGUAGUUGGCAGUUUCCAGGGAUCUGGACAUUGGUAUAGUGUUUUUCUAUUAGUGUGUUACCAGAACUAUGGCUGUCAUGGAAGUUGGUGGAUACAAGUGUUUAGUAAGUCACUUUUAAUUAGCAUGUUGGCAUCUCGAUUCAUCGCCUUCCAUUUUCCUUUUCCUUCUUGGCUCAUGUUAUGUUUCAUGUUUCAACUAAGGGUGCUUCUUAUCUUUGUUGUGCGGAUCAAUCAAAAUACUUUUCUCAGUUUUUAUGGCGGGCAGAAUUUAAUAUCCUUGUUCGAAUUUCACAGAGGUUUUGCUGUGGCAGAUUCUUUUCACUGGGGGGACCUUUUGCUACUGAAUGUUGGUAUUAUUUCUCUGCUGGGCUCUAUCAUCUCAAUGCUUCAGUGAUCUAAAUGUUUGGUGAUAUAUGUCGUCUUUUGAUCCGGGAACAGAUGUGGAUCCUUAUGCACACCUUGGGCUGCAAUCUAAAGAGUAUUGUUAGGAAUUUUAAUUUUUUGGAAAUUCUGGGUUUGGAUAUUUGCAAAGAGCUUUGUUUGUCUUCCCCUGGAGUCAAGGUUCUCCUUUUUUCUUUAGAUUUUUUGAAGUUACCUGUUAACAAGAUUGCAUCAUCAAUUCCAUUAUUUUUAUCAUGUACUAUGGUUAAUAUGUCCACGUUUUAUUGCCAAGUGAUCCACUUCAAUUAGUGCGCUAAAUCAAUCAGCAAAUUUCUGCAGCGACAAUAUUGACUGAUACAGUCAUAUGAAGUGGUUGGCUGAAGCUAUAAUUCUGAUGAAGGAGGUUUUACCUUAAAGUUUAGUAUGCAUAUUUUAUUAAAUGCCAUUUAUUUAGUAGUGUUCUUACCAAGGCUGAUUAUUGUUUUCUGUUUCUUUGCAGCCUCUUGAGAGCGUGUCAUGGUAAUCCAAUUUGACUUAUGUAGAAUCUACAAAUUCCUUUUUCUUAGGGUAGAUUGCAAACUUUGAAUUUGUAACUGAGGUGAUCUUGUUCUUAUUCCGCACCUUCCCCCCCCCCCCCCCCCCCCCCCCCCAAAAAAAAAAAAAAAAAAAAAUUGAAGUUUGUUCACAGAAUAUCCUUUUGGUUCAUGCUAUUGAAUAUAAUGUAGUUUGUGCAAGAAUUCUAGCAUACACAUUGUUUGCUUUUGUGAUAGGUGGGGUCUAGUAUAUUGCUACAAAAAUAUUUAUUUGGUGUUUCUUUCCGAGGUUGGUUAUUUUGGCCCCUCCUUAAUUAUUUUUUUUGUAUUCUUUUAUCAAUGUUCUUUUGGUUACCAUUUCAUUAACACGUGAACAUUAGUUGCCUUGCCAUGACAUUGAUGGCUGUGAACUGUUAAAAGAUUUAGAAUUUUAGGUUUUGGGAUUUAUAUGUUGUUUGAUCUUUUCUUGGAAGCAUGCUUCUGAAAGAAUUACAUCGAGAUAAUUUCUUGUCAAUUAUGGUUGGUAUCUGGUUCGUAAAGGCUACAGUUUGAUGCCUUUCACAGAGGCCCUAUCAAGACAGACCAUGAUAUCCUCCAUUAUUAUGGUAGUCUAGUCAUCUUGAAGGUACACUACUAUUACUUAGUUUCAACUCAAUUCUCAUGGCUGUCUAUUCUUUUUUGUCACGUUGCUGCAAAACAUUUGAUCUUGAACUUUUCGAACUAAGACCUGUGUGAGAAGUUUUCAACUCUCUUUAUUGCCAGGGGCUGGCUGGGGUGUAACUCCCUUUACUUUGGCAUAAAGCACUCUGCUGGAUCGAUAGAUCGAAUAUGAUAAAUCAGUUUGAUUGUUGUUCCUGUGGAAGGGCGUUGUACCGUAGUUACCGUUAUGAUUAUUAGUUUGUUGUUUGCUUGUGGUUCUUCAACGUAGACACAUUUAAUAUUUAUCCAUUGUUCUAUACUUCGCUAGGUAUUUUGUUCUUCUUCCAUGCUUUUCUUUCUCUUUUUCUCUCCUUUUUUUUUCAAAUGGAUGAUUACUGCUGUAUUUUAAGGUGACGAGAGUUUGGGUCGUGCUUGCAUGGCGUUUUGGGUUGUAUCUUUUGCAUGAAAGAGUGAUUGAUCUCUUUUGCCACGUCAACUGUUGGAUCGCACCCGACUCUCAAAGCACAUUGGAUUAUAUCCAUUUAUUGCUAUAUAGAUCUCAAAGUGACCAUUGCUUGAUGCCAUUGUGAAUGUGUGCGAAGGAAGGUGUGAGUCCUUUUGCACGAUUUUCUUGCUGUCAUGGUGAUUCAUGUCAUCUGUCCUAUUUGCUUGUGGUUUUCCAGCUUAGACUUAAUUUAAGUCAAUGUUUUGUUGUCAUGUUUUUCUUUUUUUAGGCAAAAAAAAUAUGCAUUGGACUGUUGGUGAUGUAUUUUAAUGGGAGUAAAGUUUUGGACAUGCAUGUAUGGUGGUUCUUUUAUUCCUGUCAUAGUGGUCUAUGUUAUCUGUUUCCUGUCUACUCGUGUUUUUCCAGCUUAGACAUGUUUGUUCGUCUUUGAUGCUAGAUUGUGAUGCUUGGAUGCAAAAUAUUGAGGGUUCAUCUUGUGCGGCGAUUUUAGGGCCUAUACAAUUAUCAUUCACUAAAUCUCGACUACUAGACUUGCGCAAUUAAUUCAACUUACUGGCAUGGUAGAGGAUCGGAGCACCUUGUGACGGGUACAAGAGAAUCAAGCAUGUAUUAACAAAGGAUACUUUCCAUCAACCACUGUACUAUAGUCUUGUAGGGCAUCUUUCUUUGCCAAGUUAUACUACUACAACAAGCUGGAAUUUGCUGUUGAUUACUUGCCCCAAAUGGAAAUGCUAUACAAAUCAUAUGCUAAAUUUAGAGCUUAGAGCAAAGACGUGACAAUAACUCAUAUUAUAUGGUUGCCUCCUUUGCUCCUCUUUCUCGUUUAUAUCUAUCUAUUUGUUUUCAUGGGCAAUGAUGAUGAUGAGCUUCUAAGAGGCGGUCGCGGGUGAUGGGGGUCUCGGAUGCUUGGUAGGUAAACCUUGAUCCAUCUAUUCUUGUUUUCUAGCCUAAUGGAUUGAUGGUGAGGUAGCUUGGAUGGUCCCAAAAGGCAACCGCUACAGCUAUUCCUUGAUGAAGAGGGGUUCAAAAGAGAGGAGGGGAAGGGCAUCUUAAUUAAUGAUGAAAGCGAGGCAGCUUGGAUGGCCACGAAGGCAACCGCUGCAGCCCUUAAGGAGAAGGUUUCGAAAGAAAGGAGAGAGGGGAAGUUCUUUGGGGUGACGAUGAUGAUGAUCAUCAUCUCUAUCAUGCAAUUUGAGCUUUUAAGCAAUGGUCAUAUGCGAACGGGUCAACCUCUAAAUCCCUGAACCCUAAAUCUUGUAAUUCUUAGAUUCUUGGUGGGUAAACCCUCUAUCCCUGAACCCUAAAUCCUAUGUUUCCUUGGUGUUCUAAAACCUUAGUUCUUGGAUUUCUGGGCUUGGAAAAUCCUAAGCCUCAAUCCUCUCUUGGUGUUUUCCAUUCUAAUGGAUUGAUGGGGAGGCAGCUCGGAUGGCGGCCAAAGGCAACUGCUGCAGCCAUUUCAUUAGGAGAAGGGCAGAUAACAGAGGGGAGAGGGAAAGAGGGAAGGGCAUCUUUCGAUGUGAUCGAAGAGCUUUUUUUUUUUUUUUUUGGUACAAAUGUGAUCAAAGAGCUUUGCCUGUCAUUUCCUUUCUCUAUUUUAUUGUAUUUUACUUUUUUUUUUCAUUUCUUUGAUUGCAAUUUUGGUUUCUAGGGUUAGGCUUUUUGUUUACCUUUUCUUUGUUUCUUUUACAGUUGCAUGUUAUUUAUAAUGUUAUGAAUUUUUUUUUUUUAAUUUCGCCCCAAAGAUGCUGGGGAUUUGCUGUUGUGAUGAUGGCUUUGUUUAAUAUGCCUGAUUUAUAAACUAUGAAAACUACAGGAAUUAGUUGAUUAUAUUCAAUGUUUGCCUUUUCAAUGAAGUAUUUUUUCU